UGCUUCCUACGGGACGCAGCAGAGGGGAAUAUUGCGCAAUGGGCGAAAGCCUGACGCAGCGACGCCGCGUGAGGGAUGAAGGUCUUCGGAUCGUAAACCUCUGUCAGCAGGGAAGAACGGUCACUGUGCUAAUCAGCAGUGAAUUGACGGUACCUGCAAAGGAAGCACCGGCUAACUCCGUGCCAGCAGCCGCGGUAAUACGGAGGGUGCGAGCGUUAAUCGGAAUUACUGGGCGUAAAGCGCUCGUAGGCGGUAUGUCAGGGCAAGGGAGAAAUCCCCGCGCUCAACGUG
rnacentral:rRNA from 1 species